rnacentral:lncRNA from 1 species
GCGGGGUUGACAAAUAUGAUUUGAUUUGAGAUCCGAUCCUUACUACGUACAUAGAAACUAUACUAUUUUAAAUUUCCCUUUUUUCUAGCUCUGAUUUUUUCUUUACUCUUUUAUUUUAUUAUACCAUGCGGUCCACGCCCAUGUUUAUGAAUUAUUUUAUUUCAACACCGAUUUCCUUAAAAGUUUUUGGUUUAUAAUCUAUAAUAUAGGUGUAUGAAACCAGUCAUUAAUAGUAUAAUUUUAAAACGUAAAUAAUUUUAAAAAGUUUGAGUUACUGAUCUUGAGUUUUUUGCUUUCAAAAUCACUAGUUCACCUUCGUGUAGAAGUU